rnacentral:tRNA from 1 species
UUAAAAUUAGUUAAUAAUAACGUUGGCUUGUCAAGCCUAAAUUAUCAAAGUUUGAUAUUUUAAA